ACUGAGAUGAUUCAUGAUAACUGAUCGAAUUGCUGGAACUCUAGCAAUAAAAUCAUGUAGGUUUCUGCUUCCCAUCAGCUUGAUGGUAGUGUAUUGGACAACCAUGGCAUUCACGGGCUAUCGGGGGAUUAGGGUUCGAUUCCGGAGAGGGAGCCUGAUAAACGGCUACCACUUCUACGGAAGGCAGCAGGCGCGAAAAUUAUCCAAUCCUGAUUCAGGGAGGUAGUGAAAGAAAUAAUGAACUAGGAUUUAUCCUGGGAUCACAAUGGGCUUGAUUUGCAAACACUUAGCGAGGAACAAUUGGAGGGCAAGUCUGGUGCCAGCAGCCGCGGUAAUUCCAGCUCCAAUAGAGUAUAUAAACGUUCCUGCAGUUAUUCGAUGCUCGUAGUUGGAUUUCUGAGGUUGAGACGGGAGGGUGGCUAUGGCCAUCGCCCGACUCUUCCUCACCUCCUACGUUGUUCGACGUACGGUACGGUAGUAGUUCUUCGGUCGUCGGUCGG
rnacentral:rRNA from 1 species